GGUUAAGCGACUAAGCGUACACGGUGGAUGCCUAGGCAGUCAGAGGCGAUGAAGGGCGUGCUAAUCUGCGAAAAGCGUCGGUAAGCUGAUAUGAAGCGUUAUAACCGACGAUACCCGAAUGGGGAAACCCAGUGCAAUACGUUGCACUAUCGUUAGAUGAAUACAUAGUCUAACGAGGCGAACCGGGGGAACUGAAACAUCUAAGUACCCCGAGGAAAAGAAAUCAACCGAGAUUCCCCCAGUAGCGGCGAGCGAACGGGGAGGAGCCCAGAGUCUGAAUCAGUUUGUGUGUUAGUGGAAGCGUCUGGAAAGUCGCACGGUACAGGGUGAUAGUCCCGUACACCAAAAUGCACAGGCUGUGAACUCGAUGAGUAGGGCGGGACACGUGACAUCCUGUCUGAAUAUGGGGGGACCAUCCUCCAAGGCUAAAUACUCCUGACUGACCGAUAGUGAACCAGUACCGUGAGGGAAAGGCGAAAAGAACCCCGGCGAGGGGAGUGAAAUAGAACCUGAAACCGUGUACGUACAAGCAGUGGGAGCACCUUCGUGGUGUGACUGCGUACCUUUUGUAUAAUGGGUCAGCGACUUAUAUUUUGUAGCAAGGUUAACCGAAUAGGGGAGCCGUAGGGAAACCGAGUCUUAACUGGGCGUCUAGUUGCAAGGUAUAGACCCGAAACCCGGUGAUCUAGCCAUGGGCAGGUUGAAGGUUGGGUAACACUAACUGGAGGACCGAACCGACUAAUGUUGAAAAAUUAGCGGAUGACUUGUGGCUGGGGGUGAAAGGCCAAUCAAACCGGGAGAUAGCUGGUUCUCCCCGAAAGCUAUUUAGGUAGCGCCUCGUGAACUCAUCUUCGGGGGUAGAGCACUGUUUCGGCUAGGGGGCCAUCCCGGCUUACCAAACCGAUGCAAACUCCGAAUACCGAAGAAUGUUAUCACGGGAGACACACGGCGGGUGCUAACGUCCGUCGUGAAGAGGGAAACAACCCAGACCGCCAGCUAAGGUCCCAAAGUCAUGGUUAAGUGGGAAACGAUGUGGGAAGGCACAGACAGCCAGGAUGUUGGCUUAGAAGCAGCCAUCAUUUAAAGAAAGCGUAAUAGCUCACUGGUCGAGUCGGCCUGCGCGGAAGAUGUAACGGGGCUAAACCAUGCACCGAAGCUGCGGCAGCGACACUUAGGUGUUGUUGGGUAGGGGAGCGUUCUGUAAGCCGUUGAAGGUGACCUGUGAGGGUUGCUGGAGGUAUCAGAAGUGCGAAUGCUGACAUAAGUAACGAUAAUGCGGGUGAAAAACCCGCACGCCGGAAGACCAAGGGUUCCUGUCCAACGUUAAUCGGGGCAGGGUGAGUCGACCCCUAAGGCGAGGCUGAAAAGCGUAGUCGAUGGGAAACAGGUUAAUAUUCCUGUACUUGGUGUUACUGCGAAGGGGGGACGGAGAAGGCUAGGCUGGCCGGGCGACGGUUGUCCCGGUUUAAGCGUGUAGGGGGAGUGACCAGGUAAAUCCGGUUGCUUAUCAACCCUGAGGCGUGAUGACGAUGCACCACGGUGCAGAAGCAGUUGAUGCCAUGCUUCCAGGAAAAGCCUCUAAGCAUCAGGUAACAUUAAAUCGUACCCCAAACCGACACAGGUGGUCAGGUAGAGAAUACUCAGGCGCUUGAGAGAACUCGGGUGAAGGAACUAGGCAAAAUGGUGCCGUAACUUCGGGAGAAGGCACGCUGGCGUUAGGUGAAAGGACUAGCUCCUGGAGCUGAAGCCAGUCGCAGAUACCAGCUGGCUGCAACUGUUUAAUAAAAACACAGCACUGUGCAAACACGAAAGUGGACGUAUACAGUGUGACGCCUGCCCGGUGCUGGAAGGUUAAUUGAUGGGGUCAGCCGCAAGGCGAAGCUCUUGAUCGAAGCCCCAGUAAACGGCGGCCGUAACUAUAACGGUCCUAAGGUAGCGAAAUUCCUUGUCGGGUAAGUUCCGACCUGCACGAAUGGCGUAAUGAUGGCCAGGCUGUCUCCACCCGAGACUCAGUGAAAUUGAACUCGCUGUGAAGAUGCAGUGUACCCGCGGCAAGACGGAAAGACCCCGUGAACCUUUACUAUAGCUUGACACUGAACAUUGAGCCUUGAUGUGUAGGAUAGGUGGGAGGCCUUGAAGUGUGGACGCCAGUCUGCAUGGAGCCAACCUUGAAAUACCACCCUUUAAUGUUUGAUGUUCUAACUCGGCCCCAUGAUCUGGGGUGAGGACAGUGUCUGGUGGGUAGUUUGACUGGGGCGGUCUCCUCCCAAAGAGUAACGGAGGAGCACGAAGGUUAGCUAAUCACGGUCGGACAUCGUGAGGUUAGUGCAAAGGCAUAAGCUAGCUUGACUGCGAGAGUGACGGCUCGAGCAGGUACGAAAGUAGGUCUUAGUGAUCCGGUGGUUCUGAAUGGAAGGGCCAUCGCUCAACGGAUAAAAGGUACUCCGGGGAUAACAGGCUGAUACCGCCCAAGAGUUCAUAUCGACGGCGGUGUUUGGCACCUCGAUGUCGGCUCAUCACAUCCUGGGGCUGAAGUAGGUCCCAAGGGUAUGGCUGUUCGCCAUUUAAAGUGGUACGCGAGCUGGGUUUAGAACGUCGUGAGACAGUUCGGUCCCUAUCUGCCGUGGGCGUUGGAAGAUUGAGAGGGGCUGCUCCUAGUACGAGAGGACCGGAGUGGACGAAUCACUGGUGUUCGGGUUGUCAUGCCAAUGGCAUUGCCCGGUAGCUAAAUUCGGAAGAGAUAACCGCUGAAAGCAUCUAAGCGGGAAACUUGCCUCGAGAUGAGUCUUCCCUGGGGACUUAAGUCCCCUGAAGGAACGUUAAAGACUAUGACGUUGAUAGGCUGGGUGUGUAAGUGCAGCGAUGUAUUGAGCUAACCAGUACUAAUGAUCCGUGAGGCUUAACCUU
rnacentral:rRNA from 1 species